GUAGGUGGCAAGCGUUGUCCGGAAUUAUUGGGCGUAAAGCGCGCGCAGGCGGUUCUUUAAGUCUGAUGUGAAAGCCCACGGCUCAACCGUGGAGGGUCAUUGGAAACUGGAGAACUUGAGUACAGAAGAGGAAAGCGGAAUUCCACGUGUAGCGGUGAAAUGCGUAGAGAUGUGGAGGAACACCAGUGGCGAAGGCGGCUUUCUGGUCUAUAACUGACGCUGAGGCGCGAAAGCGUGGGGAGCAAACAGGGAUUAGAUACCCUGGUAGUCCACGCCGUAAACGAUGAGUGCUAAGUGUUAGGGGGGUUUUCCGCCCCCUUAGUGCUGCAGCUAACGCAUUAAGCACCCCCGGCCUGGGGAGUACGGCCGCAAGGCUG
rnacentral:rRNA from 1 species